CAGCCGCCACGGUAAUACGAAGGUCCCGAGCGUUGUUCGGAAUCACUGGGCGUAAAGGGAGCGUAGGCGGCGUGGUAAGUCAGAUGUGAAAUCCCGGGGCUCAACCCCGGAACUGCAUCCGAUACUGCCGUGCUAGAGGAUUGGAGAGGUAGCUGGAAUUCUUGGUGUAGCAGUGAAAUGCGUGGAGAUCAAGAGGAACACUCGUGGCGAAAGCGAGCUACUGGACAAUAUCUGACGCUGAGGCUCGAAGGCCAGGGUAGCGAAAGGGAUUAGAUACCCCUGUAGUCCCUGUCUCUUAUAC
rnacentral:rRNA from 1 species